ACUCUCGUCCGGUCUUUUUCGACGAGUGUGAGAUGGAGGAGUUGUCCACUGUUUUGAUAGUUUAUAUAACGAUAAGAUAAUAUAUUAUGACAGUGAUUAAAUCGUAAUAACUUCUGGGGUAUAUUUGAUUAAGCGAACAGUCGGUUCUCGUAGUUAGUAUGUGUAUGGGACUGCGCAUGCGCAGAACGCUCUCGGCGCCAAUGUUAACUCCUGUUCGGCUUGGGAAGUGUUUACAACGAGGGAGAAGUUGGUGAAUGUAUGCUGCAUCAAUGUUAUGGGUUUGAGUUGCAACCCGCCUACUCAAAUCAGUACACAUGGAGCUUGUCCUCUUGAUUCGUAAUGUUCUUGUAAAGUGUUACUGACUAGAUGUAUCCCCCUUCAGAAGAAAUUUUUUUUUUCCUUUAGAUAUGCAAAAAGGAGACAUGGUAUGUACAAUGCAUGUUGGUCAAUAAAGAUUGAAUUUACUGUGUAA